UCCAGGCCCUACGGGGCGCAGCAGGCGCGAAACCUCCGCAAUGUGAGAAAUCGCGACGGGGGGAUCCCAAGUGCCAUUCUUAACGGGAUGGCUUUUCAUUAGUGUAAAGAGCUUUUGGAAUAAGAGCUGGGCAAGACCGGUGCCAGCCGCCGCGGUAACACCGGCAGCUCUAGUGGUAGCAGUUUUUAUUGGGCCUAAAGCGUCCGUAGCCGGUUUAAUAAGUCUCUGGCGAAAUCCUGCAGCUUAACUGUGGGAAUUGCUGGAGAUACUAUUAGACUUGAGAUCGGGAGAGGUUAGAGGUACUCCCAGGGUAGAGGUGAAAUUCUGUAAUCCUGGGAGGACCGCCUGUUGCGAAGGCGUCUGACUGGAACGAUUCUGACGGUGAGGGACGAAAGCUAGGGGCGCGAACCGGAUUAGAUACCCGGGUAGUCCUAGCUGUAGACGAUGCGGACUUGGUGUUGGGGUGGCUUUGAGCUGUCCCAGUGCCGAAGGGAAGCUGUUAGGUCCGCCGCCUGGGAAGUACGGUCGCAAGACGGAAACUUAAAGGAAUUGGCGGGGGAGCACCACAACGCGUGGAGCCUGCGGUUUAAUUGGAGUCAACGCCGG
rnacentral:rRNA from 1 species